GCUAUACAUGCAGUCGAGCGAAUGACGAAGAAGCUUGCUUCUUCUGAUUUAGCGGCGGACGGGUGAGUAACACGUGGGCAACCUGCCCUGUAGAUUGGGAUAACUCCGGGAAACCGGGGCUAAUACCGAAUAAUCCAUUUCCUCACAUGGGGAGAUGUUAAAAGACGGCAUCUCGCUGUCACUACAGGAUGGGCCCGCGGCGCAUUAGCUAGUUGGUGAGGUAACGGCUCACCAAGGCGACGAUGCGUAGCCGACCUGAGAGGGUGAUCGGCCACACUGGGACUGAGACACGGCCCAGACUCCUACGGGAGGCAGCAGUAGGGAAUCUUCCACAAUGGACGAAAGUCUGAUGGAGCAAUGCCGCGUGAGUGAAGAAGGUUUUCGGAUCGUAAAACUCUGUUGUGAGGGAAGAACAAGUACGAGAGUAACUGCUCGUACCUUGACGGUACCUCAUUAGAAAGCCACGGCUAACUACGUGCCAGCAGCCGCGGUAAUACGUAGGUGGCAAGCGUUGUCCGGAAUUAUUGGGCGUA
rnacentral:rRNA from 1 species